rnacentral:misc_RNA from 1 species
GAUGAAGAACGCAGCGAAAUGCGAUAAGUAAUGUGAAUUGCAGAAUUCAGUGAAUCAUCGAAUCUUUGAACGCACAUUGCGCCCGCCAGUGUUCUGGCGGGCAUGCCUGUUCGAGCGUCAUUUCAACCCUCAAGCCCCCGGGCUUGGUGUUGGGGAUCGGCGUGCCCUCGCGGCGCGCCGUCCCCUAAAUCUAGUGGCGGUCUCGCUGUAGCUUCCUCUGCGUAGUAGCAACACUCGCACUGGAGCGCAGCGCGGCCACGCCGUUAAACCCCCCACUUCUGAAAGUUUGACCUCGGAUCAGGUAGGAAUACCCGCUGAACUUAAGCAUAUCAAUAAGCGGAGGA